AUGUACACCGAAGAGGAAGCAGAAGAAGCACGUCAAGACGGCGUCGACCUGCUGGAAGAGGGCCGGCUGUUGGCACUCAGCCAGUCCAGCAUCUACCAGCAGAGUCUGCGCCGAUACUACAACCGGAAGGUCAGGCCGAGAUCUUUCCAAGAGGGCGACUUUGUGCUCCGGCUGAUUCAACGAACAGCUGGCCAGCACAAGUUGUCGGCGCCUUGGGAAGGCCCCUUCAUCGUCAGCAAAGUGCUAGGCAACGACUCCUAUUACCUAAUCGACGCCCAGAAGCCCCGAGCACGCAAGAGGGACGACUCCGGCAAAGAGUCAGAAUGA
rnacentral:rRNA from 1 species